UACGAAGGGUGCUAGCGUUGCUCGGAAUCACUGGGCGUAAAGGGUGCGUAGGCGGGUCUUUAAGUCAGGGGUGAAAUCCUGGAGCUCAACUCCAGAACUGCCUUUGAUACUGAGGAUCUUGAGUACGGGAGAGGUGAGUGGAACUGCGAGUGUAGAGGUGAAAUUCGUAGAUAUUCGCAAGAACACCAGUGGCGAAGGCGGCUCACUGGCCCGUUACUGACGCUGAGGCACGAAAGCGUGGGGAGCAAACAGG
rnacentral:rRNA from 1 species